GACAGAGGGGGCAAGCGUUGCUCGGAAUCACUGGGCGUAAAGGGCGCGUAGGCGGGAUGGCAAGUCGGUCGUGAAAUCCUUCGGCCCAACCGAAGAACGUCGGCCGAUACUGCUGUUCUUGAGGGAUGCAGAGGAGACUGGAAUUCCCGGUGUAGCGGUGAAAUGUGUAGAGAUCGGGAGGAACACCGGUGGCGAAGGCGGGUCUCUGGGCAUUUCCUGACGCUGAGGCGCGAAAGCGUGGGGAUCAAACAGG
rnacentral:rRNA from 1 species